rnacentral:snRNA from 1 species
AUGACUUAAACAUAACUAGGAAAAAUAAUGGUUCAGGGUGACAUCAGAGUCCUUGCUGCUCAUAGGAAAUUUUUCUGAGCUGGGGCCCCUGGGUAGACUCACAUACAUUGUAAGAUGCAUACCUGUGGUAGCAUGCCAG